UAAAACGUCGUAUUAGGUUUUUUUAAACAAAGGAUUAUACCAUCUCUUCAAGCCAAAAGGUAUAACGGUGGGGAAAGAAAAUCAAAAAGAAACCCACUAUGAUUACAACACAUAUUUGAGUUGGGAUCAAGUGGUAGAAUCGUAUCAGCUUCGUCCUCAAUUGGCUGUUCAAGGUUGUAAAACAAUAUGCAUUCUGCAAAACCAUUAAAUUUGAUCCACCUGGUACUGAAUUCCGGGCUACAGAGUAUAGAACGCCAAAACUUUCACUACGAGAAAUUUGACAGGAAAACACUAUCAUUUCAUAUUUGAUAUCAAAAAUUUAUAAAGUACCCGGACCACUGUUUAGCUUUUAUUUUUGACGGGGCACACUAAUUCAAUCCCGCUUCAUGUUUACUUAGCCAUAAAUUUCUUUUCAAUCCCUCUUCCUUCACCAAUCUAUCUUCCUCCAUCAGAUCGAUCUUCUCUGUUAGGGACUUGAAUCUGUUCUUAUGAUUUCGAAUCAACAUCUCGUGAUAGAGACAUAGACUGUUGGCAGUGGCGAUAAAAUUUGGGGAAAAAUGAAUCUCGAACAACAACAACCUGCCUCCAACCUAAAAUUGAUCAGUUUGAUCUCUGUUUCCGAAGAGGAAUUCAUCGUCAAAGAUGAAUUGGAGACUUAAUCUCGGAAUGAAUCAAAAUGAAAACAAGAUAAGUUUCCUUUUACUUUUAUAUUUAUACUCGCGAUUAUGAAAAACUUAGGUUUUUGUUUGCAAUCCAAUUUCUGAUUCUAUUUGAGUUUAGGAUCUUAGAAAUCUAUCAAAUGGAUGAUUCGAUUUAGUCUAUAUUUGUUAUCAUCUCCUAUCAAUCUUCAUUUUGAGAUAAAUUUCGAAAAACAAUUGAAAAAAAGUUCGCCAAAUUUUAUCACUGAAAUUCGAUUUAUUUCUCAAUCUGCAAUCCUGAUAGGAAGCUGUUGAUUCAUAAUAAUGGAAGGAUUUAUUACAUCCAGAAAUCUCAAAAUGUAUAAUCAGUGAGAUUUUCUUCACUGGCUAUUAGGUGUGUAAUUUUGUAUAUUACUAAGAAGAAGCAGAUCGGAUUACACUUGAUAUUCAAAAGAAGAGGAACAUUGAGCAAGAGAAGGCUUUGCCAGGAAAGAGGAGAAAGCCACAAUGCAGAGGCGUUCAAAUGAUUUGUGUGCUUGAAAAUCGGGGCAUCUUCAAAACUGCUUCUGGGUUCCCAAUUUUUCCUUCAGUGAUAGAGAUUCUCUUGAGUGGCAUGAGUGCCUCUGAAGAUUCUGCAGCAGCUGCAGCUUUGGCCUUUAGGCACAUCUGUGAUGGUCCUCUUAUAGAGAGAGCUCUGGUGAUUCUGCUACCUAAAGAAGUGUCUUUCCCCUACAUUAUCCAUGUGGACACAGACGUCAAAGAUUCUGACGGUUCAACAUCCAUGGCCACUGUUUGUGCAGGUAUGCUGUCUCCCUUUUUCUCGACAUUGUCAGUGGACCCGAUUUUGAGACAACCUCAGCUUCGUCAUAAUAGCUGAUAGCUCUUGGUUUAUCUUGUGAUAUGCCCAUUUAAAUUGGUUGUGACAACUACUUCUACAGAAUAUCAUGCAAGUGUCUGACGCAUAGUUUGUAUCACUGCACUCAUACUCAGGUAGGUGUGAGAUAAUAGGACCAAAAUGUAGGUCUAAAUAGGAGAAAGAAUGAAGUAGAAGGUUCUGAACAUGAUAAUAUUGUCUAAAAUAAUAAUAUGUGGGUGGAUUUUAGCGACUAGGUCAAUUUGAAACUGGAUUUUUGUUGUCCAUCACAACAACAUCACCUCAAUUAAGGUCCCAGACAACUGCAAAAAGCACUUGCACGGGAACUUACUAUUCAUGUUGAUCGAUUGGGAAACAUCUUCAGAUAUUUGGUUCUGACCCUUCUUGUGCAAACUAUCUCUGAAGCUUGAUUGCAGCACUUUUCAGCCACACAACACAUCUUCUGACCAAAAUUGAGGGGAAAUACGAGGCGCCUAUGAGGUGAUCUGAUGGAGAAGAGGGUGGUUAUGGAAGCGUCGAUGCUGGAAGAUAAGUUACAGUACCAAUCUGGUCAAUCUAAGGGUUCAAACUCAUGAAGGUUCUAAAGAGUUUCUUCAACAGCACUAUCAUUGAUGGGGUUGAUUUCUUAUUUUGCUCCUUCCUCCGUUAGGCUAUCUUCCUCCAUCAGAAGUCAAAACUAAGUGAAAACAAGGGAUAAGCAAAAAGAUAUAAGGGACAUGGAUUAUGUUUUGUUGCAAAACUUGGAUUGUUUUUAAAUCAUUAUAGUGAUUACUCGAAAAUUAGUUGUUAUUUCUACUGGGCACCCUUCGGGAUGAUGUGCUCGCUCAAUUCCCACUUUCAGUUUCAGAGACAGAUCAAGAUGCGUACGUGGCGAUGAAAGCUUCGAGGAGUUGGUUUCGUUAGUUGGUUAGCUUCCACUAUGUUUAUUUUGUGUUUAUAUCCUAUUUUGUAAACCAACUCACUACCGAAUAUGUAGCACUUGAGAGGAGUUCUUGUAUUUAUUGUUCUUGUAUUUAUUUCGGAGAGGGUUUAGAUUCGGGUUAAUCUUUGUUUAUAACUUCUUUCUUAGUGUUUUAAACAGAUGUUUUAGAUGUUUUAGAUCGUUAGUGCCUCAUUU